AAAUCCCUUGGCAAUUAGAUUAAAUAUGUAAAUACCGUUUGAGAUUUUGUAAUUUGUUGGCAAAGCGGGUAGGGGAGGUCGAGGCUCCAUUCAGUCAAAUGCUGAAGAAUUUUUUAGCUGCUCGAGUUGAAGAACUGAACAAAAUAAAAAACACACUAGCCGAGCUCUCUGUUUCAGCAACCAAAAAGUCUCAACAAUUGAAUGAGUUAAAAAGGAACAUUGAAGAGAAAUUUUUAGCACUGGCGAAGAGAAAUAACGAUACCCUCCAUCGCCAGUAAGCUUCACUCUUUAAUCCCA
rnacentral:lncRNA from 1 species